GUAUACUCCUACGGGAGGCAGCAGUGGGGAAUUUUGGACAAUGGGCGAAAGCCUGAUCCAGCCAUGCCGCGUGCAGGAUGAAGGCCUUCGGGUUGUAAACUGCUUUUGUACGGAACGAAACGGCCUUUUCUAAUAAAGAGGGCUAAUGACGGUACCGUAAGAAUAAGCACCGGCUAACUACGUGCCAGCAGCCGCGGUAAUACGUAGGGUGCAAGCGUUAAUCGGAAUUACUGGGCGUAAAGCGUGCGCAGGCGGUUAUGUAAGACAGUUGUGAAAUCCCCGGGCUCAACCUGGGAACUGCAUCUGUGACUGCAUAGCUAGAGUACGGUAGAGGGGGAUGGAAUUCCGCGUGUAGCAGUGAAAUGCGUAGAUAUGCGGAGGAACACCGAUGGCGAAGGCAAUCCCCUGGACCUGUACUGACGCUCAUGCACGAAAGCGUGGGGAGCAAACAGGAUUAGAUACCCCGGUAGUCC
rnacentral:rRNA from 1 species